UACCAAUUAUACAAAUAAGUAAAUAAAUGCAAAAAAACCUCAGGGAAAAAAUAAAUAAGAAAAGGACAAUACAGCAGUUUCUCUUUGCCUUCGGGGGAUCCGUUCCAAGACCUCCAUUGGAUGCCUGAAGGUGAUACAAGGGCUACAAAGGAGUGUAACAAGGUGUGGUUCACUAAUCAGAUAGUGAUUCCUCCUCCUCUUCUGAUGAAGACUGAGAGAGUAGAGGAAAACUAUGAUGUGUGUUUCCUAUACUUUCCAUCCCUGUGCAAUGGAGUAGGACUUCACUCUUCUGUGGAAGCAUGAACAGGCUUGCUGACAGAGUAGGGUACCGGAGCCUUCCAAGGAAAGAAGCCGAUUUGGGAAAGGAUCCAUGAAGUUGACAUCUGCAUCAUUGAAAAUUAACCGUCCUCAUAAGCCAUGUCUCCGAGGCUGCAGCCUAUGAGAUGUGAUUGUUCUGUCCUGAGAGUCGUAAGACUAAC